rnacentral:lncRNA from 1 species
GAAAAAAAAAAAAAUUUGAAAGUUUAGAUGGCUAUCCGUAAAUGAUCAGAAGUUCUAAUGACGGUUUGAUUUAUGAGGAAUCAAUAUUUAAAAUUAACGAUUUUUGAUACGUUGGUAUUUUAAACGUUGGUGUUCUAGAAACACAUCCAAUAUCACGGAUUUUGGAAAAUUAAAGCGAACAAGACAAUAAUCAGAAGAUAUAAAAUGUCUAUAUUAAUAUGAGAAAAAAAAUAAAUUAUGUUGACACGUGCGAAAGUUCAGGAACAAAACUUGUAGGGACCAACUUGAAAUAUCAAAAUUGUGCAGGGACUAUCCAUACGUUUUUCUCUUAAAGCGUUGUCAAGUCAAUAUGAUAGGCACCCUUCAAUGAAUCAUGUUUAGCUCGGCAGAGACUCAGGUCAAGUAAACUUUUAGCUACUGCUUGGUUCGGAAUUAAGAAAAAAUUAAUUAUUACAGGAAUAGAAUAAAGUUCAGAAUUAAAAUGGGGUUAAAGUAUUUUUAUAUUUGGUUGGGAGUUGGAGUUAGUCCAGAAUUAAGAAAAAUAGUGUUUGGUUGGAGUAGGUGGAAUAAGAAGGAUAGUAGUCGGUAAAUAAAUAAAAAAACGAAAAUACCCUCACAUUAAUCUAUUGAAAUAAAAAUUUUUAUUUUUUUAAUUUAAAAUUGUAUGAUUGCAAAUAUUUUUGAGGAGUAAAAUUAAAUUAAUUUUAGCGUAAUUUUGUUCCAAAAAAUAUUUCUCACCAUUCUUUUUUUACUUUGAAAAUACCCAAAAUUUAGGAACAACUAUUUUAAAAUUUUCUUAAGUUCAAAUUUCACAAACAUUUGCAUAUUACAAACGAUUUUAAUAUUUUACUUACAAUUGCAUUUUAACCCUCCAAAAACUCUAAUUUUCAACCUUUUAAAAUUUUAAUAUUAAAAUUUUAAAUUCUAAAAUUUAUAAUUUAAAAAUUAAAAUUAAAAAUUUUAAAAUAUUAAUAUUAAUUUUAAGAUUACAAAUUAAGCAUUUUAAAAAUUUCAAAUAUAAAAUUUAAAUUUUAAAUUUUAAAUUUUAAAAAUACUAAUAUUAAUUUUCAGAUUGCAAAUUAUAAAUUUUUAAAAUUUAUAAUUUAAAAUUAUAAUUUUAAAAUUAUAUUAAAAAUUAAAUAGCGGUGGGAUUAACUUUAAUCCCACCCCUAUUGCGGGCUAGCCCAUUUGGAUAACCCCACCCUUUAUUUGAGCUGUUUCGUAAUAAAUGGGGGGUUAAGGGGUUAUUCCACCCUUAAUCCCCAACCAAACACUAGCUAUGUAUUUGUAUUUGGGUACAAAAGGGGGAUAAGACCUUAUCCCCCUCUUGUAUCCAAUCCAAACGGGGUGUAGUAGUUCCAUAAUGGAUAAAAAUGAAAUUAAUUAUGAUUGAUUAUAUAAGAGACUAUAAACAUUAAUAAUAAUAACUGGGUUUAAAUAUUUUGGGCCAGUGAUUUGGGCUCAACGAUUUAUUGUUGUUAGUAGGUCGGAUUGUUACAUUUUGUAGAAUUGGUUCACUAAUUGGAAGUGUAAGAUAAGUCUCGAUCAGGCUACGGUUUGAAUAAUAAGACUAGCGAGACAAGUUUCACAUCGCCCGGUAAUCUUGGGCUGUAUAUGUGAUUUGACUGACAAGGACGUUAGGAUCUAAACGGAGGGAGUCUAUAACACUCCAAUAGUUCCAUAUCGGGCUUUGAUUGGGUAUAUAAUAGAUAAUGGACGCUAGUAAUAAUAAUUGGACUUAAACAUUUCCGGCUGGUAGUUUGGACUAAACGAUUUAUUAUUACUAAUGGAUUGGGUUGUUAUAUUUGUUAUCAGAGCCGGUUCACCAGCCGAAAAUAUGAAAUAAGUCUCGAUUGAGACAUGCUCUGAAUGACAAUACUAGCGAGACAAGUCUCACAUUGCCUGAUGAUCUUGAGCUGACAAGGACGUCAGGGUCUAUGUAGAAUCCUNUGGGUUAAUCAUCGGUUUACUCCUAAGUGCCUAUAUAGUCGACAUGUAAUUGUGGAAUUAUCUUGUGUGGCGCAAUUGCUCGGUUCAUUGAUUUAGUAUGGUUAAUAAUCUGAAUUGGAGCUGAGUUAUUAUCUUUGGAUAUAUAUAUACAUGUUGGACUUGGAUAAGACUUAGGAGAAAACUCGCGAUUAUGAUCGUCAUAUAUUUAAACUACCUGAUUUAGCCCUAGGAGCCGUUGUAUUAUUUUAUACUGUAACAGUAUCUCCAUAGUGAGUAUUCCAGAUAGUUUAGCUUUCAGUUACGCUCGUGCCGGGAUGCCGAAUAUAUUUUUACAGUAGCGUUCAGGCUGUUCCGGACUGUUGGGUGCCGUCGGGGUUGACGGUGGACCCGUAUCGCCUUUUUGGCGUCGGAUUGUGCCGAGAGCACGUUACCUGUUGGUUGUUAGACCAGUUUGAGUCGGUUACUGGACUUUGGCUUUUGAGAGCCGAUUGAGCUCGACAGAGAUACGCUGCAUACUCGGUUGGGUAGCUCCCACGAGUGCCACUCCGAAAACGGGCGUUGUGUUUUCGCGUUGGUGUCGCUCAUGCCGGUUGGACUUGCUCUCCACGGACUAGUAGUGUGGAGGUAGCUGGAUAGUCACAACUAGGCAGGGACGGCUGUGUUCACAGUCCCAGGGACGGGUAUGCUUACAGUCCCGAUUGGAUUGGGUCAGAUUUGACAUUUUCUAUAGUUGGUUAGUGUAGAGCAUGAUAGUGUAGUGAUAAAUAGCGGUAGAUUUUAUUCCUGUAUUUACUACUAUCCUGUCUCCCUUCUGUAGAUUUCGUGGGUGGACCGAUGUUGUUUAGGGCCGCACCCACUGAGGACUACUUGUUUUUACAGUAGUUCUCACGCCAAGUUGUUACCCCUGUUUUGCAGAGCCACAGGUUUCGGCUGCUGCGCCUUCCGCGGAUCAGGAUCGAGGCAAGGGCGUCGCGAGUUAGAGCCCUACCCGACGAGCUGAGCUAGAGGCACUCCUACUGCAGGUAGACGUUUUGUUUCAAGUUUAUGUACAUAGCAUACUUAACUCGCCAGUGCGAGUAGCUCUGUAUUUUGGAUUUGGGCUAUGUAUAUGAAACUUAGUUUGUUUAGUAUUUGUCUACUCGAGCAGCUCUAUACUACUGUUUGUAGUAUUGUAUGCUUACAGGUACUGUUGUCGCAUCGUAUACAGGAAAAAUUUCUUUGUAUACGGCGGAUUUGUCGGCGUGCCUGGGGAACGAGACAUCCGGGGCGUGAUAGUCUAAACACCCCAAUAGUCCCAUAUCAGGUAGGAAUAGAGUUGUGACUGAGUAUAUAAGAGACCAUAAACAAUAAUAAUUAAUAAUUGGAAAAACUUCAAAAACCCCCCUGUGAUUUCGUAGUUUCCCACUUUGCCCCCUGUGGUUUAAAAUGUAUCAAUUUGCCCCCUCUGUGGUUUCUCUUUUGCACAGUCAAGUCAAUACGACAGACACCUUUCAGUUAAUGAGUCAAAAAAUUAAACAGCACAAAGACUUAGGUCAAGUAAACUUGUAUAUUUUCCAUUUUAUUUAUGAAAUUUAAUAAGUGCAUAAAAUUAUAUAAGAGUCCUUUUUCUAAAUUCGUUGUUUUUCAUAAAAUAGAUGAACUGUGUGAUUGAAAUGUGAGAUGAGAUUCACGAUGAGUCACUAAUCAUUUCUUUUACUACUGAAAAAGCGGAUCCUCUUUCAGAAGUUCGUGAAGUACAUAGUAGCAAAGCAUUACUAAAAGAAUGGGUUAGUUUCAUAUAGUUCCUGCAAACAAAAUAAUUACAAAUAUAUUUUUAUAAAGUUUAAUUUUUAUAUGUUGUUUUUUUAAAAAAUUUUAAUAUUUUCAAAUAUAUCCGUCUGGUUUAUUACGGUUAAACCACUGUUUAUUUUAUAACUGAAAUGACCUUUUUGCCAUCAUAGAUAUGUCCCUCUAAAAAUUUCAACUGUUAAUUAAAAAUAGGUAAAAAGGUCAAUUCACCUCAUUGAUUAAUUAGGAUUAUAAGUAUUUUACAUAUAGUUAACUAAUUUUUUCUAACAAAUCUUAACGGUUAGGAUAUAUCUGAAGAUAUUAGGUCUUUUGCAGGGAACUGUAUAAAAUUAACCUCUAAAAGAAUCAGCGAUUAAGUGCGUGCUUGUUUUGCCGACAGUGUUGUUUAGAUUGAAAUAGAUUUUAAGUCGAACCGGAGUUUAAGUGAAAUUUUUUUUUCUAUUAUUUAUUUCCAUUAGUGUGUAGUUGAAGUUUUUUGAGGUUUAUUAUUUGUUUGCCAGAAAGUCAAUGACACAAAAGUUGAAAUUUUUAACUUUUUACAUUUGUUUCACCUAAA